GACGAACGCUGGCGGCGUGCCUAAUACAUGCAAGUCGAGCGGGCCUCCGGAGGUGCUUGCACCUCCGGAAGGCCAGCGGCGGACGGGUGAGUAACACGUGGGCAACCUGCCUUUGAGGCCGGGAUAACACCGGGAAACCGGUGCUAAUACCGGAUGCGUCCCCUUUCGCGCCUGCGCGAGGGGAGAACGACGGUCUCUAAGGCCGUCGCUCAAAGAGGGGCCCGCGGCGCAUUAGCUGGUUGGUGGGGUAAGGGCCUACCAAGGCGACGAUGCGUUGCCGACCUGAGAGGGUGAUCGGCCACACUGGGACUGAGACACGGCCCAGACUCCUGCGGGAGGCAGCAGUAGGGAAUCACCCGCAAUGGGCGAAAGCCUGACGGUGCAACGCCGCGUGAGUGAGGAAGGUUUUCGGAUCGUAAAGCUCUGUUGUGAGGGAAGAACAGCUUCCGGAGGAAAUGCCGGAGGUUUGCCGGUACCUCACCAGAAAGUCCCGGCUAACUACGUGCCAGCCGCCGCAGUAA
rnacentral:rRNA from 1 species